rnacentral:rRNA from 1 species
UACGUAGGGGGCAAGCGUUGUCCGGAUUUAUUGGGCGUAAAGAGCGUGUAGGCGGCCACACAGGUCAGCUGUGAAAACUCGAGGCUCAACCUCGAGACGUCGGUUGAAACCGUAUGGCUAGAGUCCGGAAGAGGAGAGUGGAAUUCCCGGUGUAGCGGUGAAAUGCGCAGAUAUCGGGAAGAACACCCCGUGGCGAAGGCGGCUCUCUGGGACGGUACUGGACGCGUGAGA